rnacentral:rRNA from 1 species
UAAUGCAGUCGAGCGGACAGAUGGGAGCUUGCUCCCUGAUGUUAGCGGCGGACGGGUGAGUAACACGUGGGUAACCUGCCUGUAAGACUGGGAUAACUCCGGGAAACCGGGGCUAAUACCGGAUGCUUGUUUGAACCGCAUGGUUCAAACAUAAAAGGUGGCUUCGGCUACCACUUACAGAUGGACCCGCGGCGCAUUAGCUAGUUGGUGAGGUAACGGCUCACCAAGGCGACGAUGCGUAGCCGACCUGAGAGGGUGAUCGGCCACACUGGGACUGAGACACGGCCCAGACUCCUACGGGAGGCAGCAGUAGGGAAUCUUCCGCAAUGGACGAAAGUCUGACGGAGCAACGCCGCGUGAGUGAUGAAGGUUUUCGGAUCGUAAAGCUCUGUUGUUAGGGAAGAACAAGUGCCGUUCAAAUAGGGCGGCACCUUGACGGUACCUAACCAGAAAGCCACGGCUAACUACGUGCCAGCAGCCGCGGUAAUACGUAGGUGGCAAGCGUUGUCCGGAAUUAUUGGGCGUAAAGGGCUCGCAGGCGGUUUCUUAAGUCUGAUGUGAAAGCCCCCGGCUCAACCGGGGAGGGUCAUUGGAAACUGGGGAACUUGAGUGCAGAAGAGGAGAGUGGAAUUCCACGUGUAGCGGUGAAAUGCGUAGAGAUGUGGAGGAACA